UACGUAGGUGACCAGCGUUGUCCGGAUUUACUGGGCGUAAAGAGCGCGCAGGCGGUCGUUCAAGUCGAGUGUGAAAGCCCCCGGCUCAACUGGGGAGGGUCACUCGAUACUGAUCGACUUGAAGGCAGGAGAGGGAAGCGGAAUUCCCGGUGUAGUGGUGAAGUGCGUGGAUAUCGGGAGGAACACCAGUGGCGAAGGCGGCUUCCUGGCCUGUUCUUGACGCUGAGGCGCGAAAGCUAGGGGAGCAAACGGG
rnacentral:rRNA from 1 species